CCUACGGGAGGCAGCAGUGGGGAAUAUUGGACAAUGGGCGCAAGCCUGAUCCAGCCAUACCGCGUGGGUGAAGAAGGCCUUCGGGUUGUAAAGCCCUUUUGUUGGGAAAGAAAUCCAGCUGGCUAAUACCCGGUUGGGAUGACGGUACCCAAAGAAUAAGCACCGGCUAACUUCGUGCCAGCAGCCGCGGUAAUACGAAGGGUGCAAGCGUUACUCGGAAUUACUGGGCGUAAAGCGUGCGUAGGUGGUCGUUUAAGUCCGUUGUGAAAGCCCUGGGCUCAACCUGGGAACUGCAGUGGAUACUGGGCGACUAGAAUGUGGUAGAGGGUAGCGGAAUUCCUGGUGUAGCAGUGAAAUGCGUAGAGAUCAGGAGGAACAUCCAUGGCGAAGGCAGCUACCUGGACCAACAUUGACACUGAGGCACGAAAGCGUGGGGAGCAAACAGGAUUAGAUACCCUGGUAGUCCACGCCCUAAACGAUGCGAACUGGAUGUUGGGUGCAAUUUGGCACGCAGUAUCGAAGCUAACACGUUAAGUUCGCCGCCUGGGGAGUACGGUCGCAAGACUGAAACUCAAAGGAAUUGACGG
rnacentral:rRNA from 1 species